GAACACUUGAGGACUUGAAUUGCA
rnacentral:siRNA from 1 species